rnacentral:lncRNA from 1 species
CUCAUAAACUUCUUAAUAUCUCUUAGCAAAACUUGGCAGAUAUGUGAGGCAGAUCCCAAAGUGGUGCAUUUUGCUAUUUACAGAUUUAUGUCAUUUUUAUUUUUCUUGGUUUCCAUGGUAACGUUUCGGACAUAGUCUCAAAAGAGAGGGGUGAGCUUCGUUUCCGGAGCACAACUCGGAAACCGUUCAAUAUCUUUCUGCAAGACUUGGUAGAUAUAUGAAACAGAACCUAAAGUGGCGCCUUUUUCUAUUUGCAGAUUUUUUGUCAUUUUUAUUUUUAUGGAAACGAUUUGAACUUAGUCUCAAAAGGGAAUGGUGGUUUUCGUUCCGGAUCACAAUUCAAAAACCGUUCAGUAUCUUUCUACAAGACAUGACAGAUAUAUCAAACAGAUCUUGAACUAUUGCCUUUUGCUAUUUGGAGAUUUUUGGCAUUUUUAUAUUUCAUAACUUUCAUGGAAACAAUUUAGACUUAGUCAAAAAAAAUCAAGUUGGACUUUAAGUAACUGUCAGUUGAUUUGCCGGGGGGAUUUGUCAUCUUCUGAUGACUCUUGUUUAGUUCUGCAAAAGGCAUAUGUAGUACUUAUGGUACUAGUAUCUCCUUAGAUACAACAAGUGACUGUUACAAUUAUAUCUCUCUGUACCCAGCAGAGAGUGGGUACCCUGAAGGAUGAGAUGAUUAUAUAACUCCCAAUAUUAAUGAUGUUGUUUAUUUAAAAAAUUAACAAGAAAAUCAGCCGGUAUAGAGGAACAAUUAUCAGGGCAAGUGAUUUUGCAUGUGCCACUGUAACAGUGUACACAAGCAAUUUUAUUUCCACCCCUGAAACUGUUCUUAAUCUGAACAAAAUUGUUUAUAUUUAUGUUUUGAAGAAACUUAGAAAACAUGAUUUAAUAGAACAAACUUGAAAAUCCAUGAAAAAGAGAAACACAACUCAUAUUCCUCUCCAAAAUAAAAUUCACGAUAAUGGACCACUUAUCUACGGUCAGUGUUGUCAAAGAAAUACAUCUAGCGGUUGACAGUGAUUUUUCCUGAUAAUCCUCUUGCAUAAUGACGCAAACUGUCUCACCUCAUAGGUAUGAGUAGGUUAUUUCUUUAAAGGAUUUAUUUAGACAACGAAAACUUGCGGAAUCGAUAAUCAUGACAGCUACUCAAUAUACUAUGCAAUAAUCAUUCAACUAUAUUUUGUAUCUUAUAUAUAAAUGUUGAAACAGGUUGAAAUAUUUUUUACUAUGCCUUUGUGUUGAUAUGGUGCACAUUUUUAUGAGAAGUAUUUUUAAUGUUUAUAUGAUACACUUUUGAAUAUUUUGCAAAUUAAUCAUCGUUCAUGUACUGGACGAUCUGUCACAUCUGUGAGCAUGUUGUUGAUGGUGAAGCUCUGUUUAACAGACCCCCAUUUGUCUGAAGUCAUCGUCUGAGUUCAGGAUCGUGGUUAUGGACAUGUAUAAACACACGCCAAUCGUCAUUGUUUCAACAAUUGCAUUCCGUAUACAACUUGCAAAAGGUCAUUACGCAAGUCAUGUCACCACUGCCUUAAAUUGCAUAAAAAAAUUAUGUCUGACAUAGUGUCCAAGACAGAGAUCGUGUGUCUUACGUGGAUAGGGUGUGUCUGACAUAGAGAAGGUGUGUCUUACAUGGAUAGGGUGUGUCUUACAUGGAUAGGGUGUGUCUGACAUGGAGAAGGUGUGUCUGACAUGGAGAAGGUGUGUCUUACAUAGAGAAGGUGUGUCCAACAUAAAGUAAGUGUGUCUGACAUGGAGAAGGUGUGUCCAACAUGGAGGUGUGUCUGAUGUAGAGAAGGUGUGUCCAACAUGGAGAAGGUGUGUCCGACAUGGAUGUGUGUCUGAUGUAGAGAAGGUGUGUCCAACAUGAAGGUGUGUCUGACAUAGAGGUGUGUCCAAUAUGGAGGUGUGUCUGACAUGGAGAAGGUGUGUCCGACAUGGAGGUGUCUGAUGUAGAGAAGGUGUGUCCAACAUGGAAAAGGUGUGUCCAACAUAGAGAAGGUGUGUCUGACAUGGAGAAGGUGUGUCUGACAUAGAGAAGGUGUGUCCAACAUGGAGAAGGUGUGUCUGACAUAGAGAAGGUGUGUCUGGCAUAGAGAAAGUGUGUCUGACAGAGAAGGAAUGUCCAACAUUGAGAAGGUAUGUCCAACAUGGAGGCAGUGUGUAUGAAACGGAGACGAUGUGUCUGACAUGGAGACAAUGUGUAUGACGUGGAGACAAUGUGCAUGACGUGGAGACAAUGUGUCUGACAUGGAGACAAUAUGUCUGACGUGGAGACAAUGUGCAUGACGU